GAUGAAGAACGCAGCGAAAUGCGAUAAGUAAUGUGAAUUGCAGAAUUCAGUGAAUCAUCGAGUCUUUGAACGCACAUUGCGCCCCCUGGUAUUCCGGGGGGCAUGCCUGUCCGAGCGUCAUUGCUGCCCAUCAAGCACGGCUUGUGUGUUGGGUCCCGUCCCCCUCUCCCGGGGGACGGACCCGAAAGGCAGCGGCGGCACCGCGUCCGGUCCUCGAGCGUAUGGGGCUUUGUCACCCGCUCUUGUAGGCCCGGCCGGCGCUUGCCGACACCCAACCAUUUUUUUCAGGUUGACCUCGGAUCAGGUAGGGAUACCCGCUGAACUUAAGCAUAUCAAUAAGCGGAGGA
rnacentral:misc_RNA from 1 species